CCUACGGGUGGCAGCAGUGAGGAAUAUUGGUCAAUGGACGAGAGUCUGAACCAGCCAAGUCGCGUGAAGGAUGACGGCCCUAUGGGUUGUAAACUUCUUUUAUAUGGGAAUAAAAUUUUCCACGUGUGGAUAUUUGUAUGUACCCUAUGAAUAAGCAUCGGCUAACUCCGUGCCAGCAGCCGCGGUAAUACGGAGGAUCCGAGCGUUAUCCGGAUUUAUUGGGUUUAAAGGGUGCGUAGGUGGAUUGUUAAGUCAGUUGUGAAAGUUUGCGGCUCAACCGUAAAAUUGCAGUUGAAACUGGCAGUCUUGAGUGUGGUUGAGGUAGGCGGAAUGCGUGGUGUAGCGGUGAAAUGCUUAGAUAUCACGAAGAACUCCGAUUGCGAAGGCAGCUUACUAAUCUACAACUGACACUGAGGCACGAAAGUGUGGGGAUCAAACAGGAUUAGAUACCCGGGUAGUC
rnacentral:rRNA from 1 species